rnacentral:rRNA from 1 species
CCAAGUAUUAAAGGUAAUGCCUGCCCAGUGAGGAGACUCCCCCCUUAAACGGCCGCGGUAAUUCGUGCGAAGGUAGCGCAAUCACUUGUCCUUUAAAUAAGGACCCGUAUGAAUGGCCACAUGAGAAAGAAACUGUCUCUUUGGGCUAGUUAAUGAAACUGAUCCCCCUGUACAAAAGCAGGAAUGAUAAAGCAAGACAAAAAGACCCUGUGAAACUUUAAACUAACUGUCAACCCGUGACAGAAACUUUUAGUUGGGGCAACUACAGAGAAACAAAACCUCUUACCACCACCAAGACCAACAAGUCAAAGUGAACAACCACACAGACCCAGUACCACUGACCAAAGAACCAAGCUACUCCAGGGAUAACAGCGCCACAUUCUUGAAGAGUCCAUAUCAACAAGAAUACCUACGACCUCGAUGUUGGAUCAGGAUAACCUGAUGGUGCAGAAGCUAUCAAAGGUUCG